AGUGAACGCUGGCGGUAGGCCUAACACAUGCAAGUCGAACGGCAGCACAGGAGAGCUUGCUCUCUGGGUGGCGAGUGGCGGACGGGUGAGGAAUACAUCGGAAUCUACUUUUUCGUGGGGGAUAACGUAGGGAAACUUACGCUAAUACCGCAUACGACCUACGGGUGAAAGCAGGGGACCUUCGGGCCUUGCGCGAUUGAAUGAGCCGAUGUCGGAUUAGCUAGUUGGCGGGGUAAAGGCGCACCAAGGCGACGAUCCGUAGCUGGUCUGAGAGGGUGAUCAGCCACACUGGAACUGAGACACGGUCCAGACUCCUACGGGAGGCAGCAGUGGGGACUAUUGGACAAUGGGCGCAAGCCUGAUCCAGCCAUACCGCGUGGGUGAAGAAGGCCUUCGGGUUGUAAAGCCCUUUUGUUGGGAAAGAAAUCCAGCUGGCUAAUACCCGGUUGGGAUGACGGUACCCAAAGAAUAAGCACCGGCUAACUUCGUGCCAGCCGCCGCAGUAA
rnacentral:rRNA from 1 species